rnacentral:rRNA from 1 species
CCUACGGGUGGCUGCAGUGAGGAAUAUUGGUCAAUGGGCGCGAGCCUGAACCAGCCAAGUAGCGUGAAGGAUGACUGCCCUACGGGUUGUAAACUUCUUUUAUAAAGGAAUAAAGUGAGGCACGUGUGCCUUUUUGUAUGUACUUUAUGAAUAAGGAUCGGCUAACUCCGUGCCAUCAGCCGCGGUAAUACGGAGGAUCCGAGCGUUAUCCGGUUUUAUUGGGUUUAAAGGGAGCGUAGAUGGGUUGUUAAGUCAGUUGUGAAAGUUUGCGGCUCAACCGUAAAAUUGCAAUUGAUACUGGCAAACUAGAGUACAGUUGAGGUAGGCGGAAUUCGUGGUGUAGCGGUGAAAUGCUUAGAUAUCACGAAGAACUCCGAUUGCGAAGGCAGCUUACUAAGCUGCCACUGACAUUGAGGCUCGAAAGUGUGGGUAUCAAACAGGAUUAGAUACCCUAGUAGUC